GAGAUUAUGACUCUAUUUAGGACUAUUGUGUUUUGACUGCUCUGGUUGGCUUAUAUAUUUUAUUAUCUCUUCACAUAGAAUUGUUGAUUUCAAAGAUAGGAGUGAGGGUCUAAUGGAAAUCUGCCCUGCAGACCAUCUAAGCCACUCUUCAACCUUGCUUCAAUUUAACGAGCAUCAGUCAAGCCAAGAUCUCAGCUAUCAGUAGCUUUUCUUUAAGGAACAAGCCCUGAGGAGCAUCCUUCCAGGAGUCUGCACAGUAUUGGGAAGGUACACACAGCUUCUGUCCGUUCAUGAAUGUGGUCACCAUGGCAUGUCUAGAAGACAGCAUUUUUUUUCAGUGUCAACAGUCAGUGAAGAGAUGCAUGACUGAUCAAAGUGCUAAGAGGAAGAGACCACAAGCUCUGAGGUGGUAAGAUGCAGUUUGGGUGAGUAGAAUCAGAAGCCAAUGAUGGUGGUCUUGGUGAGGAUGGUGAGAGAAGUUUACCACAGUACAUACUUUUAUAUAGUUGGCCCCUUGGGCACUUUAUAUACAGAUGGGAGUGAGUGUGAGUGUGUGUGUCUGUGUGUGUGUGUCUGAGUAAGAGCCAUUGACAAAAAGCAGGUCAUAAAUUUGAAAGAGAAUAAAUUGAGGUAUAUGGGAAGAUUUGGAGGGGAGAAAGAGAAGGGAGAAAUAUAGUAAUCUCAAAUAUAAAAGGAAAGAGGAAAAUUAAUAGCAAUGAACUGACUUAAAAAAGACAGUAGCUAGUGAAAAAAAAUAAAGAACAUAAGCAGGGCAGACAACGAGGAGCACACUAGUGAGCAGCACUCUUGACUUUCCUCUGACUUAGUUCCUGUCUCCAGCUACCUGCCCUGACUUCCUGGAAUGGUACCUUCCCUGCAAGCUACAAGAAGAAGUAAAUCCUUUCUUCCACAUGAGAGAGCUUUGGUCAUGCUGAUUUAUCACAGUAGUGCAGACUCUAGAUUCCAGGGUGGUUUUUCAGGUGUUUAGAAUCCAGUGCUGGGGACGACCACAGAUGCCUUUUCCCUGCCUGCAUGCCACCUUCCAGCAAUGUGAGCACCAACCAGCAGAAUGGAACGUCCCAGCUUACUUCGAUCUUGCUUUACCUAUUUGCCUAAUCCCAGGUCUGUGGCUUCUUCAGUAACAGCUUCUUACUAUCUAGUUCUAGUGAGUGUCCUAGGCCAGUGGCAAUAUCAUCCUUUGUCUGCUGAGCCUCCAACCAAUAACACAGGAGGAGAUGGCCUACCACUGGUGCUGAGGUUUUUGGUUCAAAACUUGUGGCUUUGGGGAGCAGCAUUAUCCAUUCCUUUAGCGUGCCUCCAUCCAAAAUUUUGGUUGUCAAAUUGGACUUGAGACCUGCUCAACAGGAGAGAAAUCCUGGGUGGUACUGAAACCCUAGCAGACUGGCCAGGACUAACUUGUGAGGUGACAAAUCUUGGCGGAGAGUGUACAACGACCAGUUUACUAUAGCAUCGCAGUAACCUAACUAUGCUCUAAAUAUCUGUCCUUAUACCCACAGAGAAGUGUAAUCCUCAUGCCUCAUCGAUUUCCUUUCUCUUGGCAACAGACAGAGGUCAUUCCAGAAAACAACAAGCCAUCGAACUGCAGAGUUGNCGAGCCCAGGCACAAUGGAGACAUCUCCAACACAGCUGCAUCUAAGGCUCAGGGAGUAUUUUGGAAGAGGGGUCAGAAGCAGUCUAAGAACUAGAGGAUCAGGGAACGAGAUGCGAGGCUGUGACUCCUAAGACUGCCAGAAGCGACCUGCAAAGUCUCAGCAACACGACUGCCCAAACAUGAGCUGGACAAGGAAGAGUAGACAUGCCAGAUAUGGGCAGAGGGAAAGGCCACAGGGCCUCAACCUUAUCUCCAAAGAACAAGGGCAAACUAAGGAGGGCUGAGAGCUAGAGAGAUAGGCUUCCCCAGGAAGGAGCACAACAGUUGUUUAUCUCCUACCAGAGGCCAGUCCUGGAAACACGCAUCCAGGUCACACCAUGAAGCUUGAGCUGGUUAUAUGUAGAAAUCUAUAUGCAUGUACAUGAAUACAUGGGUAGAGGAAAUAACAAUUGAUGGAGAACGGGGUUAUUUGGAAGAGAGCAAGGAAGGGUAUAUGUGAGUCUUUGGGGUAGAAGAGGAAAUAGAUAACAGAUGGAGUAAUAAUCACAAAAAAAGAAAAGAAAUCUUUUACUUGCCCUCUGAGUUUAGUAAGAUUCUGUAUGGCUGUUGGCUAUGUCCUGAGUUUUGGUUGACCCUAGCACCGUCCCUCUGUAAGGCUUUCCAUGCCCGGUAUCCUAGAAAGUCCAUGUUCACAUCUCAUGCGUCUUACGGUCCCCCACCUCUGGACCUCCUCUGGAGGCUCCUUUCUCCCUCCAUGACUUCUACAGACACUGACUCCUAUUCGAACAUAGAAAGGUAGAACUAUGCAGCUGGUGCCCACAUGUGAGAGCACAUUGGUGGCUUCUGUGGCUGUUUGACCAAGAUGUGAAAAAGGGACACGGGAGAGGGGCAGCCAUCCUCAUUGACAGAUAGUCCUGGGGAGAACUGGAUAUACACAUGCAGAAGGCUAAAACCAGACCCCUAACUUUAGACGGAAGAAAAUCGGUUCUAAAAGGAGGUAAGGCCUGAAAUGCGGAGGGUCUCGGGAGAAUGCAGGGGUCAUUUCUCAAGAGAAGCAGAUAGUCAAGUGCAUCCUUCAAAGGUUCGACAACUCCGGAAAUGGUCUCCAUAUUAGUCAGGUGGGGUCCUCAUAAAUUAACGACUUCCUUCACCUUAAACACGAAAUAAUUGGCAGAGUGAAGAGACAAAAUCCAAAAGGGGUGAGCAAAAAACCUUGUUACACAAGUCAUCAUACAGAAACUUAAUGAAAUAUAUAGAUAAUUCAGACAAGUACAGUAGAACCAAACAACUCAGAAGUGAGGAAACAAAACACAUUUCUCCUGGGGCAUAAGAUAUGGAGUGCAUAUAAACAGGAGGGAGACUGAUGAGGUGGGAUAAGUAGGGGGGAGAUAAUUUGUGUGAGGGACAAAGGGAGUACAUGAGACCUGAAAAUGGGUAAAGUCGGCUUUGUAUUCAAAAUUGAAGGGCAUCAGACCCACUGACAUUAGCAACCUGUGUGGAAUGCUUACUAGUGGGUGCAUCGGGCUGGAGCCAUGGCUCAGAGGUUAAGAGCACUCUCUUCUAUGACAUUGGACCAGGUUCUGAUCCCAGGACCACGUGAGCACAGCUCACAACCAUCUAUAACUCCAGUUCCAGAGAAUCUGUCUUGUUCUUCUGGCCGCCAAUGCCACAGGCACUCUUGAAAUGCACAUGCAUGCAGGCAGGCAAAGAGUUAUACACACAAAAAUAAAAAUGAGUCCAUCAUUUAACAGUAAUCCCCAACUGGUUUUCUAAUGAAUAGUACAUAUUCCCUUGCACAGGAUGGUGUUGGAACUGAACAAUCCCUUGCCCUUGAGUGGGUUGUAACUAAACAGACCAGUUGAUGUAGGCAGUGGUAGAUGUACUGGUUGUUUAUUUACAUUCACGGUGGGAAAAGAAAUUUCCUAGAGGAACAAUGUGAGAAAGGGGGAGAUGGGAAUACAAAGCCACUUCUUAGACGUGUGUGCCUGUGAAGCACAGAAGAACAAGAGCAGAAGAAGAUGCACUCGGGGAACCCGAGAGCACUGGGGUUGGUGUGCUCGAUGCUAAUGAGGAGACAUAGGAUGGGUUUUGGUGUACUACUUAAGGAAGCCCUCUGGACCAUAAAGGGAAGGAUGCUUGGAACACAGAAGGGGAUGCAAGACAACACCUGUGAACAGUGCUGGGGGAGGAAGCGGUGACAACUGCUCAGCAUACCAGAGAAGCUUGGUAAC